UUACGGUCAUAUCACGUUGAAACCCCGUUUCUCGUACGAUCAACGGAGUUAAGCAACAUCGAGUCGAAUCAGUAUCUAGAUGAGUGACUACUUGGAAAUAACAGGUGCGGUA